UAUAGGGCAGCCCCCGCCCCCAUCCCUCCGGCCGCAGAGCUCUCCCGCCGCUAGAGCAGGCUUUCCAGGUGGGACAGUCUUCUGUGACUCGCUUCGACCCCUGGGAAUUGUAGUCCAGCUCGUUCCCCUCCUCCAGUACCGCGCAAGGAACAGCGGAGUGGCGGGACUACAACUCCCAGAAUGCCACCGUCGCAAGCGGCCCGCGGAGUGAGGCCCUCUGGGAAGGGUGCGUAAAGCUGCCUAGCCGUUUGUUGUCAGACGCGCGCAAAGCGGGAAUCGACAUCUCGGGGAACCUCGCUGCGACCCGGCGAGCAACAGCGUGACAGCUCAGGGCGUCCAACCCUGCCUCUUGGAUCAGGCAGCGUGUUGGGCAGCUACGUGUCUGAGCGGCUGCCCCGUGGACACAGCUCAUUGGCGGGGCUCGCGGAUGUGGCGGGGGAGGCUGGAGGCGGCGCUGAGGGGCGUGGGGCGAAGCGGGGCUGGUGGUGGGGAGGCCCCGCUGGCUCCCCCCCCCCUUAGUGGCAGGGGAGCUCUGGGGUAACUGGGAGUGGCAGGGGGACGAGGCGGCUUCGGAGCCGCCACCGGGUGGGGCGUGGCCCAGUCAGCGCCGCCCAGGUGCUGCCUGUGGGGGUCCCCGCCAGCGGGAAUGCGGUGGAGCCGCCAGGCACGGUAUCCUGCUUGGCCAGGCCAGUGCCCGGAGCAGGACGACGUAGGGCUUGUUUCUCUUUCUUUAGCGUCUGUAGAUGUGCCCUUAAGGGUCUCAUCCUGCACACUGGCUGAACAGCUCUGUCUGAUAAGGAGAUGAACCAGGAGGAGUAAGGAAGACAUGUUCAGGGAGGUGCUGCAAUCAUCUGAUGCUGCUGAUAGCGAGCAGAGAGCAUGGAGAGAGGUUGUCAGUGAAAAACUGAGAAUGGAUAGCCAGGAGAAGAAACAGGCAGGAGCGGAAGACACAGCUGCUUGAGGACCAAACAGACAUACUGAGGUCCCUGAUUGUGCUGCAGAUCCAUGUUCGCCUCCCCUGCAGCCCAUACAGAACUGCCUUCCAUGCCUUCCCCAAACUCCCCACACACAUUCCUCAUGUGUUCCCAGGCUGUCACAUUACCCCAUGCACUCCAACCCUAGGGACAUGUUUCACGAUGACACCUGAACAUACAUCCUGUUGGAAGACCUCAUUUCAAAGAGUGCUCUUCAUUGUCAUGUCCCUGGUAGGAAAUAGAAAUGUUUGUAUAGCUGUAUACAUAAAAAUGUAUGUAUAGAAAGAAAAUGAAUUUUUAUUUGUCUCCUACAUACAAUGGUUGCUGCUGAAAUUCAUAUACAGUGGCAAUCUGUGCAUUUGCAGAGUACAAUUAACACAAACACAGCAAUCAUUACAGGGGUCAUGCUACAAUGCUAGACAGAAGUGCCUGCUCAGUGUAUUACAGAAAGGCAUAUUACUGGGGCUCUUUGUCAAAAUGUUCCUUCAAAACCUCCCUGAUAUGAAUAGUUCCCUGUUGAAGCUCCCUAACAGCCCUGCUAUCUGGCUGCUCAAAAGCAGCUGCCAGCGGAUCCAGUGUAAUGCUC